rnacentral:rRNA from 1 species
AACGAACGCUGGCGGCAUGCCUAACACAUGCAAGUCGAACGAGACCUUCGGGUCUAGUGGCGCACGGGUGCGUAACGCGUGGGAACCUGCCCUUAGGUUCGGAAUAACUCCCCGAAAGGGGUGCUAAUACCGGAUAAUGUCUUCGGACCAAAGAUUUAUCGCCUUUGGAUGGGCCCGCGUUGGAUUAGCUAGUUGGUAGGGUAAAAGCCUACCAAGGCGACGAUCCAUAGCUGGUCUGAGAGGAUGAUCAGCCACACUGGGACUGAGACACGGCCCAGACCCCUCCGGGAGGCGGCGGGGGGGAAUUUUGGACAAGGGGCGAGGGCCUGACCAACCAAUGCCGCGUGAGGAAUGAAGGCGUUGGGGUUGUAAAGCUUUUUUCCCCGGGAGGAUAAUGACAGUACGGGGAGAAUAAGCCCCGGCUACCUCCGUC